CAGAGCUCUGGAAAGUUCCUUUGGAGGGGCUUACAGUUUCCAUACAUACAUAAUAUUUUGUGCAUGCAGCAAAGUUUAAGUAGAUUGACCACUCAGAAAGCAAAGAUGUCACUUGCUCAAGGUGAAUCUACACAGUGCUUUUUCAUUAGAUGACUCAAGAUUUAAUAGUAGUCAGCACAAUAGCUGAGAAAAACAGUCUGCUUUGCUAGGACUGUCUUCUGAAGUGUUAAAGCUUUACCUUGCCAAAUCCCUUUAAGGCAUUUGGCUGCCACAGGGCUGAUCUGCCUCUGCUCUGACGUCAUGGACUCAUAGAGUCUAAAAGAGCCAUCCAGUUCAACCCCACAAUCAAAGCAUUCCUGGCAGACGGCCAUCCAGUCUCUGCUUUUAAAACUCCAGAAAAGGCAACUUCACUAUCCUCCAAGAUUGGGACAGUUGGAAGGUAUACAAGGGAGGCAACUCCUGGAAUAGUAAUUCCUGGAACUGGAAGACCACAUUCCUGGAACUGGAAGACUACAUUCUCCCAUGGAUUUUGGAGGACUGCAUAUUCUUGUUUUAGACCUUUCUCCUACUCACUAAAUCUCCUUCCUAUUCCAACACAAAUAACAGUUAUAGCAACAUCUAGUUCUAGCUGAGUGACACAUAAUGGUGUCAGUCAGCUGGAACUAAAUACAAUUUAAUCAAUGGACUAAGAAUUGUGAUUCAGAUUGAAAGCAACCCCGGCUAACGCUAGUAUAUAGUGCAUGCAAAAUGUAUUUGCAACUGUGUGUUUACUCACUGGUGUUUGGGUGUAUUUGUUAAUCACAUGCAACACAAUCCAAAAAUCAGGAUUCUCUAUAGGAAGGAUGCUUCCACUUGCAAACUAUUUGAAUGAGAAAAAGAACACCCCAUAGAAAUUUCUUUUAAAAUGCCUUGGCCCAUGCUUCCUAUUAAUUCUACACCAUCCCACUUUUUAAAAAAAUGUCCUAAUUCAUCUCUCUUCAAAGUGGAAAACUAGGAUGGAUAACUUUAUGGGAGUAACAUCUUUGUAAAUGAAUAUAGGCAAUCUAUUGGAUCGUUUCAUGAUAUCUAU
rnacentral:lncRNA from 1 species